AGUUUGAUUCCUUGGCUCAGGACGAACGCUUGGCGGCGUGCCGUUAACCACAUGCAAGUCGAACGGGCGAUUUGAAAGCCUUGCCUUUUGAUUGAGCCUAGUGGCAAAACGGGUGAGUAACGCGUAGGCAACCUGCCCUCAGGAUGGGGACAACGGCCCGAAAAGGACCGCUAAUACCGAAUGACGUAUCGGGAUCGCAUGAUACUGAUACCAAAAGGCGGAGCAAUCCGGUCACCUGAGGAUGGGGCCUGCGUCUGAUUAGGUAGUUGGUGAGGUAACGGCCCACCAAGCCGACGAUCAGUAGCCGGUCUGAGAGGAUGAACGGCCACAUUGGGACUGAGACACGGCCCAGACUCCUACGGGAGGCAGCAGUGGGGAAUCUUCCGCAAUGGGCGAAAGCCUGACGGAGCAACGCCGCGUGAGUGAAGAAGGUCUUCGGAUCGUAAAGCUCUGUUGUCGGGGACGAAGGGGCAGAUCAGGAAAUGGGUCUGCUUAGACGGUACCUGACGAGGAAGCCACGGCUAACUACGUGCCAGCAGCCGCGGUA
rnacentral:rRNA from 1 species